rnacentral:rRNA from 1 species
GCAUGGAGAUGACAUGAAAUAUGCUACGGCAUAGGUAGAGGAUGGACUUAUGGCGCAUUAGCUAGUUGGAGGGGUAACGGCCCACCAAGGCGACGAUGCGUAGCCGACCUGAGAGGGUGACCGGCCACACUGGGACUGAGACACGGCCCAGACUCCUACGGGAGGCAGCAGUAGGGAAUUUUCGGCAAUGGGGGAAACCCUGACCGAGCAACGCCGCGUGAAGGAAGAAGUAAUUCGUUAUGUAAACUUCUGUCAUAGAGGGAGAACGGUGCGUGUAGGGAAUGACAUGCAAGUGACGGUACUCUAUAAGAAAGCCACGGCUAACUACGUGCCAGCAGCCGCGGUAAUACGUAGGUGGCGAGCGUUAUCCGGAAUUAUUGGGCGUAAAGAGGGAGCAGGCGGCACUAAGGGUCUGUGGUGAAAGAUCGAAGCUUAACUUCGGUAAGCCAUGGAAACCGUAGAGCUAGAGUGUGUGAGAGGAUCGUGGAAUUCCAUGUGUAGCGGUGAAAUGCGUAGAUAUAUGGAGGAACACCAGUGGCGAAGGCGACGAUCUGGCGCAUAACUGACGCUCAGUCCCGAAAGCGUGGGGAGCAAAUAGGAUUAGAUACCCUAGUAGUCCACGCCGUAAACGAUGAGUACUAAGUGUUGGGAGUCAAAUCUCAGUGCUG